rnacentral:rRNA from 1 species
UAGAGUUUGAUCAUGGCUCAGAUUGAACGCUGGCGGUAUGCUUAACACAUGCAAGUCGAACGGAAACGAUACUAGCUUGCUAGUAGGCGUCGAGUGGCGGACGGGUGAGUAACGCGUAGGAAUCUACCUAAUAGUGGGGGAUAGCCCGGAGAAAUCCGGAUUAAUACCGCAUAAUCUCUAUGGAGUAAAGGGGCCCUCUUCUUGAAAGGUUUCGCUAUCAGAUGAGCCUGCGUAAGAUUAGCUAGUUGGUGAGGUAAAAGCUCACCAAGGCGACGAUCUUUAGCUGGUCUGAGAGGAUGAUCAGCCACACUGGGACUGAGACACGGCCCAGACUCCUACGGGAGGCAGCAGUGGGGAAUAUUGGACAAUGGGGGCAACCCUGAUCCAGCAAUACCGCGUGUGUGAAGAAGGCCUGAGGGUUGUAAAGCACUUUCAAUUGUGAAGAAAAGUUAAUAGUUAAUAACUAUUAGCCUGACGUAACUAGAAGAGC